UUGUUACUACCUCUGUCCCGAAUUACUUUUUGCAGAAAUGGAUAGAAAUGGAUGUAUGUAGAACUAAAAAUACGUUUAGAUAUAACCAUGCAUGCAACAAGUAAUUCAGAACGGAGGGAGUAUAAU
rnacentral:pre_miRNA from 1 species